AUGCAAUAGAUUUUACCGCUUCACCAAUCCAGUUGGUAGGAUUUUGUGGUCUUCAAAUGUUUGAUGUGAUCUGUCUUCUCUGCAUCUUGCUUUACCUGUGUAUGUUGUAACCAUGAUUGAACCUAUCCCUCUAACUUAAUGUUGGUUUCUACCCUGUCUCAGUGUUGUCAGUCCUGUUGGCAUUUUAGAAAUUCUUAUUAAUUUUGAAAAUAUUUUUUGUAUUGGAGGUAUUUUAUAUACUUCCCCAAAUGACAACUUUAAUUCAUGACUGAAAUCUAAUUAAGCCUAGUGUACUUCCUGCAGUAUCAACCCCACUGUAUUUACAAAGAGAAUGAGGAGGUGACAAGACACUUUUUAUUUCUUGCUGCCCUAGUCGGCCCUUGGAUCACUGCGCAUUUCCAUCUGGAAGGUUGCUUCUCCUCAGUGAUUUCGCAUUACAGGAGGGUUUUCCUUCUUUGUUUCUCAGACCUGGUCCUGUAGACGGGAAGGAGCCUGGACACAGUGACACAUUCUCAAAGGCCCUGCAGGACCACCAUGGCUUAUGAUGACUCCGUGAAGAAAGAAGAUUGUUUUGAUGGUGAUCAUACCUUUGAGGACAUAGGACUUGCAGCUGGCCGAAGCCAACGAGAGAAAAAACGUUCUUACAAAGAUUUUUUAAGGGAAGAGGAAGAAAUUGCUGCUCAGGUCAGGAAUUCUUCCAAGAAGAAGUUGAAGGAUAGUGAACUUUACUUCUUGGGGACGGACACACACAAGAAGAAGAGGAAGCACUCCUCUGAUGAUUACUACUAUGGAGGACAGUGGUUCUUGUUCUGAGUGCCGAUAAACCAGUGUGAAGGAGGAGAGAGGUGGAGGGCUGGUAUUUUG
rnacentral:sRNA from 1 species